UACGGAGGAUCCAAGCGUUUAUCCGGAUUUAUUGGGUUUAAAGGGUGCGUAGGCGGCUUAUUAAGUCAGGGGUGAAAGACGGUGGCUCAACCAUCGCAGUGCCUUUGAUACUGAUGAGCUUGAAUGAACUAGAGGUAGGCGGAAUGUGACAAGUAGCGGUGAAAUGCAUAGAUAUGUCACAGAACACCGAUUGCGAAGGCAGCUUACUAUGGUUUUUAUUGACGCUGAGGCACGAAAAGCGUGGGGGAUCAAAACAGG
rnacentral:rRNA from 1 species